rnacentral:misc_RNA from 1 species
CUUGCUUGUGCAACGAACUAUUGCCCCAUGUCCCUCCUCAUUCUAGCUACAAAGCGCUUGAAUCAAGCCUUGGGCAUUAGCAUAAUGGUUCCUGUGUUGCCUACCUAAUUUGAUGGAAUUUUCAUUGGAAUGUUGCCUUUCUCCACCUAGCUCUGCUCAUUGGGGGCAAGUGGACCUUGCAAGCGAUCAUUGUGUUCCAUGUCCUCCCCAUGCAUGUGUUAACAUGUGAAGGGGUGUCACAAUGGCCCAUGAUGAUGGCUUGUGCUCUUGGAUGCAGAACCUUAACAUGGGCAUGGGAUCUAAUGAUCACAUUCUUGCCCAAGCUUAAGCGUUCAUCGCUAGAUGCGUAUGUAUGAUGAUCGGCUCCGCUUUGCCCUCCCGUCACCCUUUGUGGUCUAGGUUAGGUGCAUGCGGUUCCGACGUUGCAUAAGAAUG